GGACACCUACGGGACGCAGCAGUGGGGGAUAUUGCACAAUGGGGGAAACCCUGAUGCAGCAACGCCGCGUGAGUGAAGAAGUAUUUCGGUAUGUAAAGCUCUCUCAGCAGGGAAGAGAAUGACGGUACCUGACUAAGAAGCCCCGGCUAACUACGUGCCAGCAGCCGCGGUAAUACGUAGGGGGCGAGCGUUAUCCGGAUUUACUGGGUGUAAAGGGAGCGUAGACGGCUGGUCAAGUCUGAAGUGAAAGCCCGGGGCUUAACCCCGGAACGGCGUUGGAAACUGAGCAGCUAGUGUGCUG
rnacentral:rRNA from 1 species